rnacentral:tRNA from 2 species
CUUGGCUCAAUUGGCAGAGCAGCUGACUUGUAAUCAGCAGGUUGUGGGUUCGAGUCCCACA